GCCAAAAUGGAAUGUGCAGAGGAGACAAGGAAACCGAAGGCGAAGAUACCAAAGAUAACGCCCUCCUGCAUUCCAUGCUGCUUCCCCUCACCCCUGAGAGUCUGGUUCUUCCUCUUAGCCCAGAUAGCCUAUUUGAUUUUGAGGAUGAUCAUCAAGUCAUGCCAGUUGUCACAUCUACCCCGUCAACUCAUCCAGGCAAUCACAUGGAACCAAGCAGUCUUAACUUUUCAGAGGAGGCGCACCAACCACAAAAUGAA